rnacentral:lncRNA from 1 species
AUAUGGGCGAAAAGAUAUCUUUGAUAUGGGUAAGCCACGUCAGCACUAUUAUAGCCUUUGUCAACCGCUACAUGCUUUCACUAAGGUCCCCACAAAGAUCGGCCUCGAGGCGAAGUAGCCUCAGUGGUCGAAGACUCAGUGAAGAUCAAGGUCGCGAAGUUACCGUGGAUCAAGAUUGAGGUACAGCAUCUUAGAUAGAGUUAUAACGGCUAGUUCUAAUAUAAGACAUAAAGGAGAAUAUUCUAGUGAAUAUUUCUUCACAUGUACUAUUAGAGUUUUCUAUAAACAUGUUUAUUAUAAAUAGAAAGAGAUCAAUGAUAGAGGAUAUGAGAUAUUCAUUUUUUUU